GCCUCCGUGGUGAACGCGGUUAUCACACAACUCUGAUACAGUUGAGUAGAAGGUUCGAGUCCUUCCGGACGCA
rnacentral:tRNA from 1 species